rnacentral:sRNA from 1 species
AUAGUUGCAGAUAGAAAUAUGCUGUAUACCUAUGCGACCGAAUUAACGUUUAAGCGGCAUUUAAUGUCGUCGGUCAUAGGGCCGCCGCAAGGCGGUUUUUUUUU